UACGGAAGGCAGCAGUGGGGAAUAUUGCACAAUGGGCGAAAGCCUGAUGCAGCUAUGCCGCGUGUAUGAAGAAGGCCUUAGGGUUGUAAAGUACUUUCAUCGGGGAGGAAAAAACAAAACUAAUAAUUUUAUUUCUUGACGUUACCCGAAAAAGAAGCACCGGCUAACUCCGUGCCAGCAGCCGCGGUAAUACGGAGGGUGCUAGCGUUAAUCAGAAUUACUGGGCGUAAAGAGCACGUAGGUGGUUUUUUUAAAGUCAGAUGUGAAAUCCCUGGGCUUUAACCUAGGAACUGCAUUUUGAAACUGAAAUACUAGAGUAUCGUAGAGGGAGGUAGAAUUCUAGGUGUAGCGGUGAAAUGCGUAGAUAUCUGGAGGAAUACCGUGUGGCGAAAGCGGCCUCCUAAACGAAUACUGACACUGAGGUGCGAAAGCGUGGGGAGCAAACAGGGAUUACGAUACCCG
rnacentral:rRNA from 1 species